UUUCGCAAUGCCCGAAAGGGUGACGAAGCGACGCCGCGUGCGGGAAGAAGGCCUUCGGGUUGUAAACCGCUGUCGGGAGUUAAGAAAUGCAAGGGUGUUAAUAGUAUCCUUGCUUGACUAAGGCUCCGGAGGAAGCCACGGCUAACUCUGUGCCAGCAGCCGCGGUAAUACAGAGGUGGCAAGCGUUGUUCGGAAUUAUUGGGCGUAAAGAGCACGUAGGCGGCUGUGUAAGUCGGUUGUGAAAGCCUUCCGCUCAACGGGAGAACGGCAUCCGAUACUGCAUAGCUUGAGUGCGGGAGGGGAGAGUGGGACUUCUGGUGGAGCGGUGAAAUGCGUAGAUAUCAGAAGGAACACCGGCGGCGAAGGCGACUCUCUGGCCCGUAACUGACGCUGAGUGUGCGAAAGCUAGGGGAGCAAACGGGAUUAGCUACCCCGGUAGUCCUAGCCGUAAACGAUGGGCACUAAGUAGAGGGGUUUUA
rnacentral:rRNA from 1 species